GUGGGGAAUAUUGGACAAUGGGGGGAACCCUGAUCCAGCCAUGCCGCGUGUGUGAAGAAGGCCUUUUGGUUGUAAAGCACUUUAAGCGAGGAGGAGGCUACCGAGAUUAAUACUCUUGGAUAGUGGACGUUACUCGCAGAAUAAGCACCGGCUAACUCUGUGCCAGUAGCCGCGGUAAUACAGAGGGUGCAAGCGUUAAUCGGCUUUACUGGGCGUAAAGCGCGCGUAGGUGGCCAAUUAAGUCAAAUGUGAAAUCCCCGAGCUUAACUUGGGAAUUGCAUUCGAUACUGGUUGGCUAGAGUAUGGGAGAGGAUGGUAGAAUUCCAGGUGUAGCGGUGAAAUGCGUAGAGAUCUGGAGGAAUACCGAUGGCGAAGGCAGCCAUCUGGCCUAAUACUGACACUGAGGUGCGAAAGCAUGGGGAGCAAACAGGAUUAGAAACCCCGGUAGUCC
rnacentral:rRNA from 1 species